rnacentral:rRNA from 1 species
GGCGUGCUUAACACAUGCAAGUCGAACGGAAAGGCCCUGCUUUUGUGGGGUGCUCGAGUGGCGAACGGGUGAGUAACACGUGAGUAACCUGCCCUUGACUUUGGGAUAACUUCAGGAAACUGGGGCUAAUACCGGAUAGGAGCUCCUGCUGCAUGGUGGGGGUUGGAAAGUUUCGGCGGUUGGGGAUGGACUCGCGGCUUAUCAGCUUGUUGGUGGGGUAGUGGCUUACCAAGGCUUUGACGGGUAGCCGGCCUGAGAGGGUGACCGGCCACAUUGGGACUGAGAUACGGCCCAGACUCCUACGGGAGGCAGCAGUGGGGAAUAUUGCACAAUGGGCGGAAGCCUGAUGCAGCAACGCCGCGUGCGGGAUGACGGCCUUCGGGUUGUAAACCGCUUUCGCCUGUGACGAAGCGUGAGUGACGGUAAUGGGUAAAGAAGCACCGGCUAACUACGUGCCAGCAGCCGCGGUGAUACGUAGGGUGCGAGCGUUGUCCGGAUUUAUUGGGCGUAAAGGGCUCGUAGGUGGUUGAUCGCGUCGGAAGUGUAAUCUUGGGGCUUAACCCUGAGCGUGCUUUCGAUACGGGUUGACUUGAGGAAGGUAGGGGAGAAUGGAAUUCCUGGUGGAGCGGUGGAAUGCGCAGAUAUCGGGAGGAACACCAGUGGCGAAGGCGGUUCUCUGGGCCUUUCCUGACGCUGAGGAGCGAAAGCGUGGGGAGCGAACAGGCUUAGAUACCCUGGUAGUCCACGCUGUAAACGGUGGGUACUAGGUGUGGGGUCCAUUCCACGGGUUCCGUGCCGUAGCUAACGCUUUAAGUACCCCGCCUGGGGAGUACGGCCGCAAGGCUAAAACUCAAAGGAAUUGACGGGGCCCCGCACAAGCGGCGGAGCAUGCGGAUUAAUUCGAUGCAACGCGUAGAACCUUACCUGGGUUUGACAUGGAUCGGGAGUGCUCAGAGAUGGGUGUGCCUCUUUUGGGGUCGGUUCACAGGUGGUGCAUGGCUGUCGUCAGCUCGUGUCGUGAGAUGUUGGGUUAAGUCCCGCAACGAGCGCAACCCUUGUUCACUGUUGCCAGCACGUUAUGGUGGGGACUCAGUGGAGACCGCCGGGGUCAACUCGGAGGAAGGUGGGGAUGACGUCAAGUCAUCAUGCCCCUUAUGUCCAGGGCUUCACGCAUGCUACAAUGGCUGGUACAGAGAGUGGCGAGCCUGUGAGGGUGAGCGAAUCUCGGAAAGCCGGUCUCAGUUCGGAUUGGGGUCUGCAACUCGACCUCAUGAAGUCGGAGUCGCUAGUAAUCGCAGAUCAGCAACGCUGCGGUGAAUACGUUCCCGGGGCUUGUACACACCGCCCGUCAAGUCAUGAAAGUUGGUAACACCCGAAGCCGGUGGCCUAACCGUUGUGGGGGAGCCGUCGAAGGUGGGACUGGUGAUUAGG